AUUGAACGCUGGCGGCAUGCCUUACACAUGCAAGUCGAACGGUAACAGGUCUUCGGAUGCUGACGAGUGGCGAACGGGUGAGUAAUACAUCGGAACGUGCCCGAUCGUGGGGGAUAACGCAGCGAAAGCUGUGCUAAUACCGCAUACGAUCUACGGACGAAAGCGGGGGAUCUUCGGACCUCGCGCGGACGGAGCGGCCGAUGGCAGAUUAGGUAGUUGGUGAGGUAAAGGCUCACCAAGCCGACGAUCUGUAGCUGGUCUGAGAGGACGACCAGCCACACUGGGACUGAGACACGGCCCAGACUCCUACGGGAGGCAGCAGUGGGGAAUUUUGGACAAUGGGCGCAAGCCUGAUCCAGCCAUGCCGCGUGCAGGAAGAAGGCCUUCGGGUUGUAAACUGCUUUUGUACGGAACGAAACGGUCUGGGUUAAUACCCUGGGCUAAUGACGGUACCGUAAGAAUAAGCACCGGCUAACUACGUGCCAGCAGCCGCCGUAAAAC
rnacentral:rRNA from 1 species